GGUGAACGCUGGCGGCGUGCUUAAGACAUGCAAGUCGAACGCAGUCUUCGGACUGAGUGGCGCACGGGUGAGUAACACGUAACUGACCUACCCCCAAGUCGCGAAUAACCAGCCGAAGGGAUGGCUAAUACGUGAUGUGAUGAUCCGCUGUGGCGGAUCAUUAAAGACUUGAUCGCUUGGGGAUGGGGUUGCGUUCCAUCAGCUAGUUGGUAAGGUAAAGGCUUACCAAGGCAACGACGGAUAGCCGGCCUGAGAGGGUGGCCGGCCACAGGGGCACUGGGACACGGGUCCCACUCCUACGGGAGGCAGCAGUUAGGAAUCUUCCACAAUGGGCGCAAGCCUGAUGGAGCGACGCCGCGUGAGGGAUGAAGGUUCUCGGAUCGUAAACCUCUGAACCAACGACGAAAGACCCGACAAGGGAGAUGACGGUAGUUGGGUAAUAGCACCGGCUAACUCCGUGCCAGCCGCCGCAGUAAGAC
rnacentral:rRNA from 1 species